UGUAUGUCAUUAAUGGUGCUCAGUUUCCUCGGAUACUUUGUAAGCAAAGAACUUUCUCGUAGUUUGACAUGUACACUUCAAUUUCCUGUUUGAAGGUCUUCCUUUUACACAUUUUCUCUUUUUAGUGAGUUUAUGCUCCUUAUAGUUUGAUAUUUUAAGACAUUUGACAAGCAUGGCCGGUGAAGUGAUUACCACUGUGGUGUAUAAUGUUAUAUUUGUUAUAUUUCUUUCCCAUGAGUGGAAGAGGGGUUACUAAGCUUGUUGAGCUUCUUUUGGAAAACCUUCAGUAAAGGGUUCUGUGGACUUGCUUUAUGAAGUGGUUUGUUUGCAAAUACGGGUUGUUACAGAAGGCUCAUCUUUGUGACUUGUAUGUCAUGUUACAAAUGUACUCAUUUUCUGUGCUGCAUCAUUUUUCUCUAUACAGCAUGCAUAUCGAGAUGGCCGUCUAGAGGAGGUAGUUCUACGUCAUCUUGGGUCUGAGGAUGGAGAAACUGUGAUAGCUAAAAAUAUUAGGCUGUCAGAGUUCCUUGGUAACAUGCGUAUAAGGUGAACAGAUGCUGUUUUAUAGUCUAGAGAUAUCUAAUGAUAUGUAGAAAUCAUGCGCCACUUCAAUUGCUGAGUUCUUUUCAAAUGCCAGUGUGGCACUCCAGUUGUUUUUAAGUUAUGAUGCAAUAGAGAUAUUUAUAUGCUUUUCUAAGAUUUGUGGGACCAGAACAUGGAGUGUUGGGCAUGCUAUACUAGUUAUCAAGGUGCAUCUUCUAUCAAAGUAAUAAAAUCGUCAUGCAUUGGAUGGGUAUGUUUG